GCCUGGCUGGCUCAGUUCAUAGAGCGUGUGACUCUUGAUCUCAGGGUUGUGAGUUCAAGCCCCAUGUUGGGCG
rnacentral:tRNA from 1 species